GCAAAACGGGGAUUAGAUACCCCGGUAGUCCAGGGUGUAAACGCUGCAGACUUGGUGUUGGGGGCCCUACGGGGGCGUCCAGUGCCGGAGAGAAGUUGUUAAGUCUGCUACUUGGGGAGUACGUCCGCAAGGAUGAAACUUAAAGGAAUUGGCGGGGAGCACCGCAACGGGAGGAGCGUGCGGUUUAAUUGGAUUCAACACCGGAAAACUCACCAGCGGCGACUGUUACAUGAAAGUCAGGCCGAUGACCUUACUAGAUUUUCAGAGAGGUGGUGCAUGGCCGUCGUCAGUUCGUACCGUAAGGCGUUCUCUUAAGUGAG
rnacentral:rRNA from 1 species